GCAUAUCAAUAAGCGGAGGAAAAGAAACUAACAAGGAUUCCCCUAGUAACUGCGAGUGAAGCGGGAAAAGCUCAAAUUUAAAAUCUGGCGGUCUUUGGCCGUCCGAGUUGUAGUCUGGAGAAGUGCUUUCCGCGCUGGACCGUGUACAAGUCUCCUGGAAUGGAGCGUCAUAGAGGGUGAGAAUCCCGUCUUUGACACGGACUACCAGUGCUUUGUGAUGCGCUCUCAAAGAGUCGAGUUGUUUGGGAAUGCAGCUCAAAAUGGGUGGUGAAUUCCAUCUAAAGCUAAAUAUUGGCGAGAGACCGAUAGCGAACAAGUACCGUGAGGGAAAGAUGAAAAGCACUUUGGAAAGAGAGUUAAACAGUACGUGAAAUUGUUGAAAGGGAAACGCUUGAAGUCAGUCGCGUCCGCCAGAACUCAGCCUUGCAAUCUUGCCUGGUGUACUUUCUGGUGGACGGGCCAGCAUCAAUUUCGACUGCCGGACAAGGGCUGGGGGAAUGUGGCACCUUCGGGUGUGUUAUAGCCCUCAGUCGUAUACGGUGGUUGGGAUUGAGGAAUUCAGCAUGCCUUUAUGGUCGGGGUUCGCCCACGUUCAUGCUUAGGAUGCUGGCGUAAUGGCUUUAAACGACCCGUCUUGAAACACGGACCAAGGAGUCUAACAUGCCCGCGAGUGUUCGGGUGGAAAACCCGUGCGCGUAAUGAAAGUGAAAGUUGGGACCUCUGUUAUGGAGGGCACCGACGCCCGGACCAGACCUUCUGUGACGGAUCUGCGGUAGAGCGUGUAUGUUGGGACCCGAAAGAUGGUGAACUAUGCCUGAAUAGGGUGAAGCCAGAGGAAACUCUGGUGGAGGCUCGUAGCGAUUCUGACGUGCAAAUCGAUCGUCAAAUUUGGGUAUAGGGGCGAAAGACUAAUCGAACCAUCUAGUAGCUGGUUCCUGCCGAG
rnacentral:rRNA from 1 species